rnacentral:lncRNA from 1 species
CCGGCUCUGGGUCGGGUUCACCCAUUGUCCGGGAAGGAAAUGGGUUCGACCGGCGGUCGUCGGCUACAGCCUGACCCCGCGGCGGCCCCGGGGUCCCCCAGCUCCGUGCUGCGGAUGGGGCGACAGGGGCCGAAGGGCCCGCGUUCCCGCGGGGGGAGCCGAGCCUGCAGCUGUUGAGAGCCUCCCAGACCCAUCAGCAAGCUGUCACCGCCUCUCCCGCGGGGAGGUGGGAGGGGGGCUUCAGCCCAAUUCCGGAGCACAAAGGGAGACCGAGAGAACAAAAGCCCAGCUCCCCCCCACCCCCCCCCCAGCGCCCAAGGCGCCCAGACUGAACCUCCGGGGGCCCCACUUCCCCAGACCCCGCUUCCCUCCUCGGGGUUGGGAUGGGGUCGGGCGGGAGGCUGCGGAGCGGGGCCGGGGGGCGCCCACACGCCCCUUGCGGGCUCCAGGCACCCAGGCCCCUGAGAUGCAGAAACGUGGAGGGUGAGCGGUUCCCAAGGUCACCCUGCAGGUUAACGGGGCUCAGGCUGCAGUCCUGUCCUGCAGGCGCCCCAGCGCUCGGGGAGGGGGACCCGAGCUGUGGCUGCUGCGGACACCGGGACCUGGGGAUCCGGCUCCGGUGGGAGCGGGCAACGCGGGGAGGCACCCGUGUAGACGCGCACCCCAGGGCAUCUGCUGGGGGCCCGGAGGACAGCUAG